rnacentral:rRNA from 1 species
CGUAAGGCGCCGAAUGAGUCAUUAAAAAAUUAACAUCAUCCGAUCCCUAGUCGGCAUAGUUUAUGGUUAAGACUACGACGGUAUCUGAUCGUCUUCGAUCCCCCUAACUUUCGUUCUUGAUUAAUGAAAACAUCCUUGGCAAAUGCUUUCGCAGUAGUUAGUCUUCAAUAAAUCCAAGAAUUUCACCUCUGACAAUUGAAUACUAAUGCCCCCAACUAUCCCUAUUAAUCAUUACGUCAAUCCUAGAAACCAACAAAAUAGAAUCAAACGUCCUAUUUCAUUAUUCCAUGCUAAUGUAUUCAAGCGUUAGCUUGCUUUAAACACUCUAAUUUUUCAAAGUAACAGUCCAGUUUCCCCGCAACACCAAAUUAAUGGCAUUACAGUUCAUCAGGAGGAGGAGUCAGUGAGACCAGUACGUACCAGUGGCACGACCAACCUACUAACCCCGAAAUUCAACUACGAGCUUUUAACUGCAACAACUUUAAUAUACGCUAUUGGAGCUGGAAUUACCGCGCUGCUG